CCUACGGGAGGCAGCAGUGGGGAAUAUUGCACAAUGGGCGAAAGCCUGAUGCAGCGAUGCCGCGUGAGGGAAGAAGGUUUUAGGAUUGUAAACCUCUGUCUUUGGGGACGAUAAUGACGGUACCCAAGGAGGAAGCUCCGGCUAACUACGUGCCAGCAGCCGCGGUAAU
rnacentral:rRNA from 1 species